rnacentral:SRP_RNA from 2 species
GCUGGGCAUGGUGGCACAUGCCUGUAGUCCUAGCUAACUUGGGAGGCUGAAGCGGGAGGAUGGCUUGAGCCCAGGAGUUCAAGGCUACAGUGAGCCAUGAUUGCGCCACUGCACUCCAGCCUGGGCAACAGAGUGAGACCCUGUCUCUU